GUUUUCUUAGUAUGUAGCAAGCUUAUGUCAAUAUGUUAAAAAUAACUUUCAUAUAAAUGUGCGAAUGCGUCUCUUGUGAGAUUAUCUAAGAUGUAACUCUGGGAACUGACAUAAAUAAAAGCAGGCCUUAAAGUGAAUCACGGCAUAACUCAAAUGGACGCAGCUGCCAAUUGAGUUGCACUAUCGAUGUGGCCAGAGGAUGAGUUUGCUGGAUUGAAAAGGUCGAGUGACUGAUUGACUGAAUGCCAGAGCCUGUCACAGUGAAAUCCAAACAUGAAAAUGCGGGCAAAAUGAAUAGUUGGAUAGGCUGUAUCUUUUGCAGGCCCACUGUGCAUAUAUUGGAUCUAUCGGUACCUGAGUUGUGUAUGCAGCUAUUGACUACAUUUUCUGAUUAAUGAAGCUGCCAUUCAGAAAACGCCAAAAGCGUUGCCUGCCACAGUACCAAAUUGAACUGUUGCAUAUGCUAAGAAAGACAGAGACAGCAACAGAGAUAUGACCCAAGAGAUACAGAGAGGGACAGACGGAGAGAGUGAGAGAGACAGAGAGAGAGAGAGAGAGAGAGGAAGGCAGGGUGGCAGCUUGCAAAUUGGGAAAACGCCGAACACAUUGCGUUUACUGCCAGCUGCAAUCUGUGAGAUAUUUUUUCAUCGUAUUUUCAGCCGGCAUUUGCAUAGCUCUCUCGCCCGCUGCACUCCACGUUAACCCAGUUGCACCUGCGAAAACGCCCUAUAGUUCGCCUGUUUGUAUGCUGUUCGCUGCCAAAGAAAAUAUGUCAAAAAUCAGCAAAAUCUGAGGAAAAACGAAAUAUUCUUCGAUCGCAUACAGCUUGCAAAUGUACGUGCGCCGCCCACGCACAUGCACAUACGCAGCACACACACACAGGCACACUCACACACACAGGCAUAUAGAUACGCGCCUAUCGCAAAGAGACUUAGCUGUUGUGCUUGUUGCUGGCUGACGGCUGUUUCGCGCCGUUGCCUAGUUGCAUUGAAGCUGACACCUUGUCAGACACCGAGACGGCUGAAAGUAUGCAAACUGUUUCGUCUGCUGUCGGCUCAGAUUUUCGUUUUCAUUUUCCGAAAAAUGAAAUUGUUUGCUCUUUAGCUGCAGUUGUUGCAACUGGCGUUAUCCGCAGCUCCUUUGAGCCGAGCGCAAACAGAAAGUGCACUUCUUUAUUCGAUGAUCGAUAUUCAAUUGUGCUUUUCAAUUGCAAAAUAAUGAAAAAGUUGCAAGCCAUACACAUGACACAUUUUACGUAUCAGCAAUCAAAUACGGAUGCGUACAAGUCAAGGACGAGAUGUGCAGAUAAUGCACCCCUUCCUUGCUGGAAGGCUCCUUUGUCUGAGCGACGUGUUCGUGGGAGAAUGGUAUCAUGUAACGCACCUCGUUUGAUGAACGCAAGUAAACUACAUAUUAAGCAAAUAGUAUUAAAACUGUAAUUUGUAAAUCGUGCCUGUUCAUUUCGCCGCUGAAAUUUCAAUUUAAUUUAAUUGGAGCAGAUUAAGGUUUCGUCGAUGAACAACUUCGGGCGCGUUAAUUAAGCGCGCACUUGUAGCAUACUUUUGCGAGCGCGCAUUUUCGCGCAUCUCCCUUCCUCAAUGGAAGCCGCUCGAAUUCUCGCUGGCUGUGAGUAAUGAAGUGCUUUAAAUAUUAAAACCAAUUUACGUGACAACAUACGCGUGUUAUGAAGCUUGUUACCCGCAUUGUUGUUAUUAAUUCUGUGUCCCAAAAAAUAAACCAGCUGGCGUAUUUCCAUGACUUGGCCACGGCCAGGCUCCGAGGCUAGUCAGGGCUCUGGCUGCUGCGCCUGUUCACAGGCUCGUGUGGCCCGUAAACUUUUGCAAUUAAUCAAGAUAGGGCAACCAGCAACUGAACAACCACUGCGUCGUCGACAACAAAGUCCCAUUUGCAUGAAUCUGCCAUAUGGCUGGCACUACCUGGACAGACUCGAUCCCCGCCCCCCAAUCACGCUCUCGCCCUCUUUCGCUGUGUGGGCGACACAAGAUUAAUAAUAAUAACUACGACUAGCGCAGCGGUUGGUCAGCAAGUGGCAUAAUCAUGAUUUAUGACAUGCAAUUAAUAAGCGGCAUGCCCGGACAAGCGACAGGAGCCGCAAUUGGAAGCUGUUGAAAGGCCCCCUGCAGCUUGCCCAGCCUGAACCUCAGUCCAGUCAAAUGCACAUUUGUA